GGCCGGGUUCUGAAGCUGUCAGGAAGUAAGGGCUGCCGGGUUCUGAAGCCGACAGGACGUCAGGGCAUUGGGACUGGGAAGCCAACAGGAAGUGUGGGCGUCCAGUUUCUGAAUCUAACAGGAAGUGAGGGUGGUCGGGUUCAGAAGCCCAAAGGAAGUGAGGGCAGCCAGGUUGUGAAACGAACAGGAAGUAUGGGCAUCCAGGUUGUGAAUCCAACAGGAAGUGACGACGGCCGGGUUCUGAAGCUGACAGGAACUAACGGCUGCCGGGUUCUGGAGCCGACGGGAAGUGAGGGCGGCCAGGUUGUGAAACGAACAGGAAGUAUGGGCAUCCAGGUUGUUAAUCCAACAGGAAGUGAGGACGGCCGGGUUCUGGAGCUGACAGGAAGUAAGGGCACGUGGACUGGGACGCCAACUGGAAUUGAGGGCAUUCCAAUCGUGACACUAAUGGGAAGUGAGGCGGGUGGCUUUGUAACUCAACGGGAAGUGAGGGCAUAGGGACCCUGAAACCGACAGGAAGUGAGGGCAUAGGAACCCUGAAGCUAACGGGAAGUGAGGGCGGAAGUCAAGAUCACCAGAGAGAGAGAGAGAGAGAGAG
rnacentral:lncRNA from 1 species